AUUAAACGCUGGCGGCAUGCUUUACACAUGCAAGUCGAACGGUAACAGGGCGCUUGCACCGCUGACGAGUGGCGAACGGGUGAGUAAUGCGUCGGAACGUGCCGGGUAGUGGGGGAUAACGCAGCGAAAGUUGUGCUAAUACCGCAUACGUACUGAGGUAGAAAGUGGGGGACCUUCGGGCCUCACGCUCCUCGAGCGGCCGACGUCUGAUUAGCUAGUAGGUGAGGUAAAGGCUCACCUAGGCGACGAUCAGUAGCGGGUCUGAGAGGAUGAUCCGCCACACUGGGACUGAGGAACGGCCCAGACUCCUACGGGAGGCAGCAGUGGGGAAUUUUGGACACUGGGCGAAAGCCUGAUCCAGCCAUGCCGCGUGUCUGAAGAAGGCCUUCGGGUUGUAAAGGACUUUUGUCAGGGAGGAAAUCCCUAGUGCUAAUACCGCUGGGGGAUGACAGUACCUGAAGAAUAAGCACCGGCUAACUACGUGCCAGCCGCCGCCGUAAAAC
rnacentral:rRNA from 1 species